GUUUACAAAUCUGCAGAGACGGAGACUCCACCAGACUCCGAGACAGACAAUUCCACCAUUGAACAGCUCUUACCAUCAGAAAGCUCUUCCUAACGUUCAGGUGGAAUCUAUUUUCCUACAAUUUGAAGCCAUUGCUCCAUGGCUAUCAUGUCACCUUUCAGUCUUUUCUUCUCUACCCUAAACAUUCCCAGAUUCCUUGUAUUUGUUAGGAUUGCUCUAGAGUUUUAGACAAACUUCAGAACAACCCACAACUUUUCUUAAUGUGGAAUUAACCAGGUUUUCCCCACUAUAGUUGCCAGAAGUGCAGGACUACCAGACAAACUCAUGUUGAGCAUGGGUUAUAAUCUCUGUACAGAUGAGCCCAGAGUUGAAAUCACUUGCAGGAAAAAAAAGCCCACAUUCUCAGACCAUUACAAUUGUUCAUCCUAGCAAUAUGUAAAGAUAAAACAGAAGUGAGUGAAUGCAUACACAAAGUGGCUUGCGAUGAGUAUGUACAGACCCACUACUCCAUGCUUUCAGUUUGAUCUGUGCAAAAUAUUAAGUGUGGGAGGAAGAAAAAGAAAGAGACCUGCUGUAGCACAACCCAUUAUACUAUUGCCUUUUGAAAGGCCUAAAUUUUCACAUAAUCACUUGCAAUUUUCUUGGGAGCACAAAGAGGCAACGCCAAUCCAUGUGACGGUAAUUCUGUCAAAGUGCUUUGAUACUCACCACUGAUAUGUGUAGUCCCAUUUCCAUUCCUCGUCCCAUUUUCUACCCCCUUAGAAACCUUCCCAGAGGAUUUGGAGAGCCUGGACAAUGGGAGAUGGCACACAGUAGAAAGUUUAAAGGAGAGGAGGGCUCAUCCAGAACUGGUGGGGUCUACUGGGUUUUUGAUUAUUCAUCCAGCAUCCUAUGACACAUUCCAGAUGGUUCUGGCCUUUAAGAGAAGAUUCCUUAAAUUGACUCAGAUUCAUAUCCAUGCCAGUGUCAUUUCUCACAUCAUUGCAAUAAACAUUAAGAAGCACUCCCUGACAGAACUGUUCAACAGUGGAAUAGUCUGCCUUUGAGUCCAGUGGAGUCUCCGUCUCUGCAGGUUUUUAAAGGAAGCCUGGAUGGCCAUUUUUUGGGAGUGCUUUCUGUGUGUAUUCCUGCAUGGCUGCAGGCUGAACUGGAUGGCCCUUGGGGCCCCUUCCAACUCUAUGAUUCUAUAAUUCUCGAUCAUAAUAUCCAUUAACAACUACAGAACAAUAGAAUUCCCAGUCUGGCAAGCAGGGUAUCCCAAAGUAUGUUUCGCAUCAGUGAAGAAUUUGCUUUUCUCACUAAAAUUCCUGAAUGAGUCUUUGCAAUUUUCUGAUAUUUUUUAAAGAAGGUCAGUGUUUUCAAUACAAGCUGUGUGUGCAUGUUUUUAAAUCAAAAGUGGCCACCAAACUAUUUUUCCACCCCUAGGAAACCAUCUAAUCUCCAGUUUGGCCCUAGAAAUAUCUCAGAAAUGGGAGCCAAAGAGAAGGACAAGGGAUAAACCUUGAAAUGCAUUUGAAGUUGCAGUUCAAAUUGGAAUGCAUUCCCAAAGCUGUGGUUUCAGCUCUGAAUCAGUUUUAAGGAUUUUAACUUUCAGUUCUUAAUAACAUUAAUAUUUAAUUCUAUUUUAAUGUUUGUGUAUUUUUUAGUUUUAAUUUUUAUUGAAUUGGUUAUAUUGUAAGCCACUUUGAGUCUCGUUUGUAGAGAGAAAAUGUGAGAAUAAGUAAACAUAAUAAUAAUAAUAAUAAUAAUAAUAAUAAUAAUAAUAAUAAUAAUGCACAAAAGGUAAGGGGGGAGAAAUAGAGACAGCACACAUGCUUCUGGAAUUAUAUUCUAAAAAGUAACUUUCCCAAAUGUCCUGGGUCCAGUUCUGGUUAGUUUUAGGGAGAGGGAUAAUUUUGUUGUUGUUGUUAACUGCUAUCAAGUUGUCUUACACUUAUAGCGACCCCAUGAAUUGGAGUUCUCCAAAGACAAUUUUUCACUAACAGCCUGACAAAGUCAGUUUUUACAAGGUCAUAUUGGACAAUUUGUAAAUUACAAUGAAGAGUCUGUUGCUUCAAUAUUGUUUGCAUAGGCAACUAGAUAGAUUUUAAUUUUGCACUUGUUUACAUUGCCUUAUUGGGUGAGUGUGCUGAAGCCCUAAUAAUUGCGUGUUUCUAAUAAGUGUGCCUCCUAUAAAAGGCUUCUGUACUAAUUCUUUGAAACAGAAAGUUGUGAGUUCCUCCAUUAGGUUUUGAUAUAUUUAUAACUUUUUUUCAUGUCAGGAGCAACCGGAGUUGCUUCUGGAGUGAGAGAAUUGGCCGUCUGCGAGGAUUUAUAACUACUUAGUGAUUAAAUGCCCAUGGUUGUGGGGUGUGUGAAGGAAGAGGUCUUGUGUUGCAGUGACCGAAAGCAUAUAGAGACAUUGUGCACUUCCCCAGGGAUUUCAUGUACGGGGAGACUAAGAACAUUUCCAUAUUCCCCUGUUAUGGAACCUUGAUCCCAUUUGAACUGUCAUGAUAGCAUGGAAUUGGGGGGAUUGUAGUUUGUUGAGGCAUGGUUCCACUUAAACAGUGAUUGCAGCAUCCAGAAGAAUCCUGGAGUUUGUAGUCUGAUAAGGUCCUAUUGUUCUUUACCAAGAAUGAACGAACAUUUAAGCCCUUGUAUCUGUGGGGAAUACGUUUCAGGGUUUCACUUAGAUACGUGAAACCAUACAGGUCAUAUCAAACCCUAGUGAAUGAAUGUAUUCUGAUGGAAGCAUACCAUAAUGUCACACUGAAGGAUCUAAAAGAGGGAUCAUACUUUAUCAGACGUGUGUAAAUCAAACUACAAGGACAGAUUUUGCAUAUCUUGGGGAUCAUAUAAUACUGCUUUAGAUGACUUCUGGGGAUGGAGGGCAAUGGGAAAGUAGCUGGUUCUCCUUUUUGUAAACAUUUUAGUGCUAUCCUGUUAUUUAAAAAUAGCUCUUAAAUUGACUCAACAAACACCCUUCCUUGUGGUGUAUUCUUAAUGUAUUUUUUUUUUAUUCUGAAUGCUAAUCUGGAAUGGAGGCCACCCUUUGUUCUCUUCUCGCAGUUCUCUGUAGUGUAUCAAAAGAUGCUAUGUUCUACCUUCCCAGUUGCUCUUUCGCUGAAUCUUACAAUGUCUUUAGCCAUCCUCUUGUUCAACGAAUGGAAAUGGAGUUUAUAUAUGAGCAGACAAAGGGGUUGACUGCAUACUCUUCUGAAAGAUGUUAUAGAGACACAAUCCAGGCUUAUAAAAAAGUACUGGGUUAAUUAACUUGGUCUGUAUUAUGUUUUUUAGAACCUGUGUUCAAGUCUUUUAAUAUUUCCUGACAAAGGGGGAAUAGUGAUCUCCCCCUUUUAAAAAAUACUAUGCGAUAGGAUCAGCCACACAGAAACAUAUAUGCCGCAGUUAGGCCAAUUUUAUAUUUUUUGGAGUACACACAGUCCAUGCACGGGCUGUAGCAAUUUAACCCCCUUUUAGACUGCGCUGUAGUGGAGCCAGGGCUCAAAGGGUCACAAUUCUGGGACAUGACAUCAUUUGCCUGUCUCUCCACCUACCUCUCCGUUCCUGUCCCUUCUGAAUUUUGCUGCCUUCCUCACUUUUCCUCAUUUUUUCCCAACACAUUAUAUUGUUGUGAGCCAUCCCUUCUGUGAUACAUAGUCUUCAGGGAGGCUUGGUCAUGAAUGAGCAAUCAGGACCCAUUGGAGAUGGAAGAUUGCUGGAACUGAUUGAUCAGUUCAGGUCAACAGAACCAUGAGGGACUCCCUUAAGGGUCAUAGUUUUGGGGACUUCCAUGAUAAGCAGCUACAGUUGACCAUGGUUUAUUGGUGGAGAAGUUAUGUCCAGCUUCCCCAGUCAAGUGCUCUGCAUUCUGGUGGAAGUUGUAGGCUAAGUCAUCUGCAAAGCAUCCAGGACGGAGAAGUCUGAACUAUGGCGGAGUCCAGCCAUUAAAACUCCCCAUAUGCUUGGUUGUUAUGAGAGCAUCACUUGAGAUUGAGGAACUUCCUGAACAUUGAUCCAUAUUGGUGUGUCCCUUUUCUGGAAGGAGAUAGCAAUGCCAUAGCAUCUCUGGAUGAAUCACAAAUAAGAGACUUCUCUAAUGCUGAUCCUGUCUACUCAACAUAUGUCCCUUAGAUAUAAUGGGACUUAUUCCAGGGGCCUUUUCUCACUCCCAUUAUAGCACUAUGGUUCCACUUUAACUACCAUGGUGCCAUCCUAUGGGAUUCACUUUUAAAGGCAGACAUUAGGAUUUCCCAACCAGAGAUCUGUAGCUCUUCACCAAACUGCAAGCACCAGGAUUCUAGUGCAUAUUCCUCUAGCAUAGUGAUCCUCAACCUGAGGUCCCCAGAUGUUUUUUGGCCUACAACUCUGAGAAAUCCCAGCCAAUUUACCAGCUGUUAGGAUUUCUGGGAGUUGAAGGCCAAAAACAUCUGGGGACCCAGGUUGAGAACCCUUGCCCUGGUAGUUGAAGUGGAAUCACGGUGCUACAAUUAUAUGCAGUAGGCUCUCCACAUUGGUUGGGUUCAAAGGAACUAGUGGGAAAUCCACAAAUUUCAGGUCCUCCAGCACAACUCUGUGGUCAACAUCUGGCUGAAGUUGGCAAUAGAACUGAACUGGAGCACUUAGAGAUUCCUCAAGAGACCAUAUUAAUCAAAUCCGCAAAUGCGGAGGGCCAACUGUAGAGUGAAAGGUCCCCAGGUGAGUGAGUAUAAGAAGCUCUUCUUUUUGUGAUUAUUUUCUCACUAUUGAAAUGUUUAGCAGAUGUUUUCAGCACAUCUCAAUUAACUCCCAUGCACUAGGAUAGGAUAUUUUUAUCCCCGUGUCUUGUUGCAGAAACCACACACAACCUGACUGACGAUGUAGGCAUUGUUAUGUCUUCAAUACAAUAUCACAGUUUCCCCAAAUUCCAUUAGUUUUCCUACAAACAAAACCAUCCAGGAUGAAAAAUAUGCAGUUCCAUUUUUUGGCACGAAACAAAGGUGCUUUGGUGGUCAGUAAUUUGUCCCAAUAUGGGAGCAAUUGAACUCACUCCUUCCCGUGGAAUAGAAAAUAGGAAUUCUUGAGCUCCAGAAAUACUCCACAAUUGUUUGUUUGGAGCUCCCCCAAAUAAAACUAUAGCACUUUGGUCCCAUUUCAGCUUCCAUGGUUUCAUCCUAUGGAAUUCUGGGAUUUGGAGUUUCAUGAAGGGUUUAAAAUUCACUUCCUGAUAACUUUGAACCCUCUUAGGCCAGAUGUGCACUUUGUGACUGCAUAAUAUGGUCAGUGUAGACCAGGCAUGGGCAAACUUUGGCCCUCCAGGUGUUUUGGACUUCAACUCUCACAAUUCCUAACAGCCUACCGGCUGUUAGGAAUUGUGGGAGUUGAAGUCCAAAACACCUGGAGGGCCAAAUUUUGCUCCCGCUGGAUAUUGACUUGUACGGGGCUUAUCUACAGCAAAAUUUC
rnacentral:lncRNA from 1 species